ACUUUAACAGCUCCAAGCCAAACAAGCUUCCGAAUGGCGUGGACUUCUGUGACAUGGUGGGCAACGUGGUCCGGGCUGAGAGAGACUGCCUUAGUGGCAAGCAUUUCUGUUCAGGUAGAGAAUUAGAGAAGUUUCUCUCUUCUCCUUCUCCAAGAGCCAUCUGGCUGGAUAGCUUUUGGUGGAUAUUUCAUGAGAGGUACCAGCCAAACAAGGAGCUCCAGAAUAAUCUGUUUGACCGGAUAGCCCAGCACUAUGCCUUACUUUUGUUUCGUGUACCCAAGUCCCACUAUGAAGAGGCGCUCUUAAAAAGGCUGCCAUCACUUCUGAGCAAAGCCGUGUACACCAGCUUCUGUUGCUGCUUUCCACAGUCCUGGUUCAACACGCACGAAUUCAAGUCUGACAUCUGUAACACAAUGAGCCUGUGGAUUUCAGGCACCUAUCCUAGCCCACAGAGCUAUGACAGCUGGGACUACUCGGAACUAGACCCAGAGCGAUUCCGCAGAGAAGAAUUAAUGUUAUACAGAAGAAGACUGACAAAGGGGAGAGAGUUUUCUUUGUUUGCUGGUAAGAGAGCCUUCUCCCAGAAGCCAGCCCAGAGCAGGAAAUUCUACCACCCUCAGGACUUCAUUGGAAGAAAGCGAAAACCUCAAGGAAGUGGCUAGGUCUGAUAGUUCACAUACCACCCUAACAAAGAGCAAUUAAUUGUGGAGAUGUGACAAGACAAAGGAAAAGAGGUUUGGGCUUCUGGGGAUGGUAAAUUGUGGGAAGUCGUCUAGUGCAAAUUCACCCAGUGAAAAAACCUCUUCAGCCAAGCAGAACUCAGAAAAAAGCUUACGAAUGCAGAAUACUGCAAAAGAGCAUCAUUGUCAGACCCUGGUCUUGAAGAAACCUACACAAGAAGUCAAGAGGAUAUCAGAAGCAAGAGAAUGUGAGAAUAUGUUUCCUAAAAAGUCGUGUGCUGCCUGCAAAAGCCCUGAGCUGACUUCAAACCUCUUCAACAUUUAUGGGAAGAGCCCUCUGAUUGUGUACUUUCUCCAGAAAUAUGCCAGUCUGCAGCAGCACGGCAAGAAUGUGUUGAUAGUCAGAAGGGAAAAGACCACGAGCACCCCUGACUGCACCCCAGCGUAUACUGAUGUCAUCAGCGAGACCCUGUGCAGCAUGAAGAAGCGGAAAGACAACCUCAAUCAGUUGUACCAGCGUCACUGGACUGAAUGGAAUUAUUUUGACAAGCAUCUAAAGGAGCUGCAAGACAACUUCUC
rnacentral:sRNA from 1 species